GAUGAACGCUGGCGGCAUGCCUAAUACAUGCAAGUCGAGCGAACAGACGAGGAGCUUGCUCCUCUGACGUUAGCGGCGGACGGGUGAGUAACACGUGGAUAACCUACCUAUAAGACUGGGAUAACUUCGGGAAACCGGAGCUAAUACCGGAUAAUAUAUUGAACCGCAUGGUUCAAUAGUGAAAGACGGUUUUGCUGUCACUUAUAGAUGGAUCCGCGCCGCAUUAGCUAGUUGGUAAGGUAACGGCUUACCAAGGCAAUGAUGCGUAGCCGACCUGAGAGGGUGAUCGGCCACACUGGAACUGAGACACGGUCCAGACUCCUACGGGAGGCAGCAGUAGGGAAUCUUCCGCAAUGGGCGAAAGCCUGACGGAGCAACGCCGCGUGAGUGAUGAAGGUCUUCGGAUCGUAAAACUCUGUUAUUAGGGAAGAACAAAUGUGUAAGUAACUAUGCACGUCUUGACGGUACCUAAUCAGAAAGCCACGGCUAACUACGUG
rnacentral:rRNA from 1 species